AGCUCUAUGAGCUUAAAGACAGUACAGUGCCUGCAUCUUGUCUGCCCCUCAGACCACUCCUCAGCUGCUUCUUAGGGAUCCUGAUGGUAUUCAUUUGGAGGCAUUAUCUCCAAUUCAGUGGACCUGAGAUUUGAUUCACCACACUUGAAGAUGGCUAAAGUCUUCCUUCUUGUCACAUGAUAUAUUCUUUCAGAGUUUUUGCCAACCCAGUAUCCUUCUUUGGGAUAAUCAUCUAACCUCUCUACUACAGUAAUCCUAUAACACUUCUCAGGCCGGUUAGCUUCAGUUUUAAAGUUUGCUGUGCUUUUAAUACAAGAAAUGACUUCAUUACCAUCUUCUUGGACAACUUGAAGCUCCAAAGAGACAGUGUUGGCUACUACAAAGCUGUUUGAGACAUUUGUGUGUAAGUCUUCGUAAGGGAGUUUGCUUUUAUUUCUCUUAGUGAAGUCAGCAACAUCAAGAACUUGGUCUUUCCUCACCUCGGGCCUUACUCCACAGACCAGGGAACCAGCAUGAAGAUAUUUGCCAGCAACCAAGUAUUUCCAUAUAAUUUACGUACUUGGAGACUAGGAAAAUGACAUACUGUUCCCACUGAGAAACAAAUGUUGAGCCAAGACACUAUUCAUCACUCUUAUAGAGGAGCCAUGAUGGUUGAUGGAGUUUUUGU